UCUUAAAGCUGAGUACGGGAGAAAGUACACACAGGGCAAGAAAUAGGCUAUAUCAGCUGUCCAAACAAUGAUAGAAAGUACACUUUCCUACCAUUGACACAGUCCCUUGUAGGUAGAUGACCUGUAGCAACCAAGGAAGCUUUAGGGGGAAUGUGUGGGCUUCAUAGGGUGGUUUGUUUGCUUUCUGAUAUUGUGACAUAGUUUAGGUGUUCCAAGUUAAGUGGAUUUAUGGAUUCAAAUAUCUAUAAUUAGAAUGUUUAUCUUGUUUUGUAAAAGAAUGAGCGGUGACCUUGAUAAUAUUUGUAACACAAAAUAGUUCUUACUGCUUCGCUUCUCCCCAUCACUGCCCCUUUACACCAUCCUCCACAUGUUUAAUGAAAAACCACUUGAAAGGGUUACCAAGGAUAAGAUUUUUUAAGCUUUCUUUCCCAAACAACUCAUGCUCCAGGCUUGUCAGUGGCAUGCCCCCAGGUGGAUAUUAUUUUAAAAAAUUGACUACAUUUCCCGUCGUCCCUUGGUGGCCGUGGAGAACUGGCUCCAGGACUCCCUCCUUUCCCCCAGUCUCUUUCAGAUACCCAAAUCCACCCGUGCUGAAGUCCCCCAGUCUGCUGUCCGUAUCCGUGGUUGGGUCAAUCUAUAGAUGUGGAACCCGCAUAUACGGAGAGCCAACUGUAAUUUGUCCUUAAGGAGUGAAAGGGAAGCAAUGCAGAAAUCAGAGGGCUCUGGAGGUACACAGUUGAAAAACAGAGCAACAGGUAAGUCCGAUCGAAGGACAUCAUCAAGCACACAGAUAAAACACAGGAAUGCAGUUCAGGGAAGCAAAUCCUCAUUGUCAACCAGUUCUCCAGAGUCUGCAAGAAAACUUCAUCCUAGACCAAGUGAUAAACUGAACCCUAAAACAAUUAAUCCGUUUGGUGAACAGUCACGAGCGCCUUCUGCAUUUGCAGCUAUUUACUCUAAAGGAGAUAUUCCUUGCAGAUUGGUACAUGGUUCAGUAAAACACAGAUUACAGUGGGAAUGUCCUCCUGAAAGUCUUUCAUUUGAUCCACUUCUUAUUACUUUAGCUGAGGGUCUGAGAGAGACUAAGCAUCCAUACACUUUUGUGUCAAAGGAGGGUUUUAGAGAAUUACUUUCGGUCAAAGGUGCUCCUGAAAAAGCUAUUCCUUUGCUACCUAGACUGAUUCCUGUGCUAAAGGCAGCUCUGAUCCAUUCGGAUGAUGAAGUGUUUGAAAGAGGAUUGAAUGCUCUAGUUCAGCUAAGUGUCGUUGUUGGUCCUUCUCUAAACGACCAUCUGAAGCAUCUGCUUACAGGCCUUUCCAAGAGAUUAAUGGACAAGAAAUUCAAAGAGCCAAUCACGAGCGCAUUACAAAAGCUAGAGCAACGUGGCGGAAGUGGAAGCCUUAGCAUCAUCAAAUCUAAAAUUCCAACAUACUGCUCCAUAUGCUGUUGAAGAAGGGAGCCAACAAAAAUUGUUUUUUCUACCUGGUGAUGUGUCAAGCACUGACCAUGACUACGAAGGACCCAUUUUAUAUUUUGUGGAGUCUAUUGACCAGGCAUUAAACCACUUUAUUUAAAUCUUUACUUGGUAUUAAUGGAGGAUAUUUCUCAAAUCAUAAUGCCAGAAUGGAAACUACAGAGGCGCAGAGGAAAUUUUCUCCUAACUUCAUGCCCUCUUGACUUCUGUUUUCAUUCCUACCUGAAAAAAUGUUUCGACGUGUUGUCUGGGAGCAUCUUCUUUGAGGACAGGAUAUGUACAUUUACCCAUCAUAUCGUAUAUUGCUUUCAUUAUAUCAAGCAUUUCCUGAAAAGUAAAAGGCACUCACGUGAGGCUGCACACAUGUAUGAAGAAACCAGUCUAAGAAGCUCUGACAGAUUGUUCCUACUCAAUUUUAAAUUUUUGACUUUUUGUUUGUUGGAUUCUUUGUUAGACGACUGUUGGUUGUCCCAAAGGAAAAGCCAACAAACAGUUUUCUGCCUUAAGAGCAGAAGAAUCAGAAUUUAAGAAUGAAUUCUGAUCUCUUGGUUUCAAAAUGUAGCAAAUUUCCAUGUAUCUACCAUAGUCAGGAAAAGAAUAUGCUGGUUUAAUGUUUGGAUUUCUAUAGACUUUAAGUAGACUAUGUUUAUUUAGUUGCAUUAUUAUAUAUCUUAUGUGUUGAUCAUCAGUUUCCAUCUAUUGAGAAUCAAAUAUACUGCACACCAUAUAUUGAGAAAAAAACACCAUCUAGAAUUAGUGAAAUUGAUUGGUAAGUAAGUUUUAAAGUGCAUUAGGGUUUUCGUUGUAUUUUUCCUACUGUGGCUUUAACUUAAGUCACAUGUGAAGACUAGUCAAAAAAUUUUGACCCUGGGAAACACCUUGAAAUUUUAUUACUAACUUUUUCUCUAAAACAGUCUAAUUUUGCCUUAUCAUUUUCAUUCUUAUGAGUAAAAAUAUCUAAUAACUUAAACAUUUAGAUUUAUUGUCGUACAUUUGUUUCAUAUGAAAGUUCUCUCAAUUGGGUUGAUAAUACAGAUCUAAUAUAUAUUUACUUUUAAGAGUAUUCAAUUCUAUUAUAAAUGAUAAAGUAAUUUGUAAACAGGUGAAACCUUUUAAGAUGUUUUAAGCAUAGAUAAGUAGCAAGUAGUUUGUUAGACACAGGCAGAAUUCUUGAGAUGUGUUAAGCAUAGAGGUAAGAAUUGAAGAACAAGAGAUACUUAAGGUAUCCUAAGUAUCUGGGUAAUAAAUAUUCAUGAUAUAAAGACAUACAAGAAGUACUAUUUAGGAUAUGCUCCAUAUACAUGAACACUUAAUAGCCAUAAGGUCUUAAUUUGGCACCCACUAGCGACACUUUUUCUGGCCCCAGGUGUCCUCUGUGCAAGAAACACACAUGAAACCCAUUACUACUUAUCAGGCUAUACUUGUGACCUGGCACACUUGCACCUGUGUCUCUGUCUCUCCAGUAGCACAAGUUCAUGUCAUUGGCUGUUGGCCCUGGGCACCUUUUGUCUGUGGGGCCUCUUGCCCAAAACUCAAUUCUGGGGAAGGCUCAUGAGGCAAAGAGAGACAGGACAUAGGCACACUGAGCAUGCCCAGGAUUUAGGGAGUGUGGUCUUUCAACCCCAUUUGCAUCCUAUCCUGCCUGGUUAACUUACCCCAUCCCUUUCCCUUACUUGUCGCUGUGUUUUAAAUUGGUUUAAUAAAUUGUGUAAUACGAGUA